CCCCUGCCUGCUAAAUAGUUGGGCGAAUGAAUGUUCAUUGGCCGCAGCUUCUUAGAGGGACGUGCGUUCUAUUAGACGCAGGAAGAUAGGGGCAAUAACAGGUCUGUGAUGCCCUUAGAUGUCCUGGGCCGCACGCGCGUUACACUGAUGCACUCAACGAGUCUGCCUUGGCCGAGAGGCCUGGGAAAUCUUGUUAACAUGCAUCGUGAUAGGGAUAGAUUAUUGCAAUUAUUAAUCUUGAACGAGGAAUUCNUAGUAAACGCAGAUCAUCAAUCUGCAUUGAUUACGUCCCUGCCCUUUGUACACACCGCCCGUCGCACCUA
rnacentral:rRNA from 1 species